GGAAAUCACACGAGAGCCCGACAACGACGUCACCCUGAGACAAACGUUUGGCGCUGGACGAGGCCCGACACACAAAGUCCGGACCGAUUUCACACACGGCAGGCGACUGAAGUCAAUAAGCACAUUUCCACACACGUCGGAGAGACGCGUCGGACCGGAGACUCGAUUAGUCGAAUGUCUCUUGCCUUGUUGCAAAGGCCGGGACGAGCCAGCCGAGGAGGCCAAGUUUACGCCCCAACACCUGCCGCCUCAUACCUGCUCCUCGUACUGAUGCUGCAGCCACUCCACAAGUAGAAGAAAGCCUCCUUCUUAAUUUUCUCAGGUUCAACAUGCGUGUAAAUUCUUCAAACACAUGACCACCAGGUGACACAGUAAGUAAGUAGGAGCCAAACGUUUAUAGUUAAUCAUUUGAAAAACUCCACAUCAGGUGGCCUCCAUCUUUCCAAAGACAUCAGUGGAUGGAAGCGCAACAAACGGAUGUCGAGUGUAACCAAAUAUCCAGCAACACACAAGCACAUACUUGAUGGGGCUUAAAACUCAGACGUGUUUUGUCUUUUCGAAUAUCUCGCUCGCUGCUGCACCACCCACGCAUUCCUGAAACAUCCAACUGCUGAGACCAGUUCAAAGGCGUCUGUGGGCGGGGAGUUUGCGUAACAGGUGUGUGUGUGUGUGUGUGUGUG
ensembl:lncRNA